AUUCAGCUGAUGAGUCCCCAAUAGGACGAACGCGCAUCUUGAAU
rnacentral:hammerhead_ribozyme from 1 species